AUGAACGCACAGGUCUUUACUCCUUGUGGAACCUCUCUUCCAGCUUUCAUUGCCUUCUCUGCCCUACAGAGAGCGUGGAUUUUUUCCCUGCACGCCAUUUCCCUCCUGGAUUCACAGCUUAACCUCUUCAGUGAGCUUGGGCUUUCACUAAAGGCAAGACAAGAGCUUUGGAGCCGCCCCUCCCAGAAGGGCUUCAACUGUCAGGAGCAGAAGCUUGGACUCUGUGAGAGACUUGCUCUGUGGAGAGCUUCAAGAGGUGCCACGGGAGCUGCUGCCUGGAGCUGCCUUACCAGGAGGAAGGUAAGUCUUCCGGGCUGGGAGCAGCCCUGUUCCUCUGUCCUUUCAAGGCUGGAC
rnacentral:lncRNA from 1 species